rfam:Triticum urartu cultivar G1812 contig485425, whole genome shotgun sequence.
CAAAUACUCCCUCCGUCCAGAAAUACUUGUUAUCAAAAUAAAUAAAAGGGAUGUAUCUAAAUAUAUAUUAAUUCUAGAUACAUCGAUUUUUAUCUAUUUUGAUAACAACUAUUUUCGGAUGGAGUGGUAGUUG